UUAGUUAUAGUUUGUUGUUUUGGUCUCUUUUUAGUUUUAGUUUAGUUCUAUUAACACCUCUGCUCGGCAAUAAAGCCAAUAAUGAGCUUUGACUCCAUAUGAAUUCUCAAGAAACUAAAUAAAAAAAUGGGUGUUUGAAACAAUAUCCAUCGUGUCCUUCCCCACAUGUGAAUGAACUUCUGAUUGCAGCAGCUGAUUUUGAGAGGAAUCUAGACUCAUGGAACAUCAGUUCGGUGCAAGGUGGUGUAGACUCAAGGGGUCUCUUUCAUAGUUAUAUAAUGGUUUGGAUAGAGGAUAUGCAACUUCACUUACUCGAACUUUACAAGGCAGAAAAGAAAUGUUUGAGGAAACCAAACAAAUGUUAACUGAGUAUGAAGUAGUGAUCAACCGUUGGCCUCAGUACACCGUCAUUUUGGAGAAUGCUGUUGCUAAUGUAGAAAGAGCAAUUAUAAAAGCCAUGGAGAAACAAUACAAUGAGAUCUUGACCCCUCUAAAGGAUAGCAUUCCAAAGAAGCUCGGCAUGCAAGUUCAGAAAUUAGCAAGAAGGCAUUCAACUACUCUUUAUAGCAUACUCAAUUAUAUAUUAUGUUUAAGAGUUUGAAUGUAGUUUUAAUUCGAAUUAGAAGUACUUUUAAUUUUAAGAUGUUUAAGUGUUUGAACGUAAUUUAUGAUGUUUAAGUGUUUGAAUGGACAAUGUUUAAGUGUUCAAGUGUUUGAACAUUGUUUAUGGUUGUUGUGUUGCA